UUUUUUUAAUGAUUUUUAUUUUUUCCAUUACAGCUGGUUUACAGUGUUCUGCGAUUUUCCACUGUACAGCAAGAUGACCCAGGCACACAUACACAUAUACAUUCCUUUUUCUCACAUUAUCAUGCUCCAUCACAAGUGACUAGACAUAGUUCCCAGUGCUAUGCAGCAGGAUUCAUUGCUUAUCCAUUCCAAAGGCAAUAGUUUGCUGCUUUUAACCCCAAGUUCCCAGUCCACCCCACUCUGUGUCCUCCCCCUUGGCAACCACAAGUCUGUUCUCCAUGUCCACGAUUUUCUUUUCUGUGGAAAGGUUCAUCUGUGCCAUAUAUUAGAUUCCAGAUACAAGUGGUAUUUAUAUGGUAUUUGUCAUACUUACUCCACUUAGUAUGAGAGUCUCUAGUUCCAUCCAGGUUGCUGAAAAUUGCAUUAUUUUGUUCUUUUUUAUGGAUGAGUAGUAUUCCAUUGUGUGUGUGUGUGUGUGUGUGUGUGUGUGUACAUAUAUAUACCACAUCUUCUUAAUCCACUCAUCUGUCAAUGGACAUUUAGUUGUUUCCAUGUCUUGGCUAUUGUGAAUAGUACUGCAAUGAACACACGGGUACAUGUGUCUUUUUCAAGGAAAGUUUUGUCUGGAUGUAUGCCCAAGAGAAGGGUUGCUGGGUCAUAUGGUAGUUCUACAUUUAGUUUUCUAAGGUACCUCCAUACUGUCUUCCAUAGUGGUUGUACCAAUUUACACUCCCGCCGACAGUGCAGGAGGGUUCCCUUUUCUCCACAUCCUCUCCAGCAGUUGUUAUUUGUGGACUUUUUUUAGGGCCACUUCCACGGCAUAUGGAGGUCCCAGGCUAGGGGUUGAAUUGGGGCCACAGCUUCUGGCCUACACCACAGCUACAGCAACAUCAGAUCUGAGCCGCAUCUGCAAUAUCUACCAUGGCUCUCAGCAACACUGGAUCCUCAACCCACUGGGCAAGACCAGGGAUCGAACCCACAACCUCAUGGUCCCCAGUCGGAUUUGUUUUCUUGCACCACGAUGGGAACUCCUUAUUUGUCUCCUCAUUAAUGAUGGCCAUUCUGACUGGGGUGAGGUGGUACCUCAUAGCACUGAUUUGCAUUUCUCUAAUAAUCACACCACAUACAUAUUUACACACACAAACACACACACACGCUUAUUGUAAUGCUACCCUUUGGUCCCAUUUAACCACUGUUGUGUGUAUACUUAGCUUCCACAGCAGGGAAACUUACUUGUAGAGAGGAGUGAAUAGGAGGAUUUCACAUAAAAUCUCGCCCCAAAUCCCAAAUACCAGAUUCAGUUUUGUUUAUUUCGUAGUGAAUGGGGUAAAGGGGGAGAUGGAAAGAGGUGAAGGCAGCUCCUUUAGCAACUGCUUGGGAUGCUUUCAGCUGCAGAAUCCAUCCCCAAAGGGGUGACAGUGGGAGGUGGCGGCAGCUGUCCUGGGAGUGGGUUACCUGUCAACUGAGAGUUAAUAAGUCAGGGUCAGUCUUACUGCACACAUGUUGAUGUUAUCAUCUGUCUGGGUAUGCACUUGGGAUAGCCACGGAUAAAACAGGAAUGAAUAAAAAGGAUAGCAGAAUUCCUCAAAAACUUCAGUUCCAAGCAGCUGUGUUAACACAGAGCCAAACAUGAGCCCAGAACUCUCGAUAUAGAAUGUCUCAGUUUAGGUUUCCCCAGAGCUGGACAGAAACAAUUACUGAAAUGCAAGUAGCUGAUGUGGCUGACAAUUCCGGGAAACACAGGAAGGAAAGUAGCAAAGGGACCAGAACCAGAAGAAAGGAAAUAAAGGGCAUUUUAUCACGACUGUAGAUGACUAGAGCUUAAUCCCACUGCGGACCUCUCAGACACGGUCGCUAGGACAGAGACCGCUGAUGCCUCAGAAUCACCCCGAGACCUCCUUGCAAACAUGCGUUCUGAUUCAGGGCAUUUAGCGUGGGGUCUGAGGCUCGGCUCCUUACGUGCUCCCAGCUGAGAAUGCCCUUGCUGCUGCUCCUCAGAACAUCCCUUGAAGAGCAAGAUGUUGAUGAUGUCCUGAUUUUUUCUCCUUUAAGUACUUCAAAUUUACACAUCAAAUUGACAAAAUGUAUGUCCACUGCUUUUAUAACGCAUCACUACAUCUCCUUUGUCAUGUCCCCUUAUCCCAGACACGGCAUCACCACUGAGCCGCCUCAGUCCUGGAAGUACUGAGCCAGUCUCUACAGAAGGAAAACAGAAACAGAAACGUCUGUCCACUCUGUUCUGGUGCUACUGAACCAGAUGGCCCUGCUCAUGAGGGGCCAUGAAACGAAAUGAAGCAUCUCAGCCUUCGCCCAACACCUCCAACUCUUCUCUGCUUAUACCUUCUGUUCUUGCUCUCCCUCCAUUAUAGCGCCAACUUGUAUUCUGAUUUUGUGCGGAUUCACAAAUCUAUGGCCUCUGUAAAUGAGGAAUAAGUCUAUCUUCCUGAUUUUGAUACUCACACCCUCUUAUUAGGGUCUUACCUGAAGCAUAUAGAAGUUCCCAGGCUAUGGGUCAAAUCAGAGUGGAGCUGCAGCCGCCAGCCUACCCACAGCCACGGCAACACCAGAUCCGAGCCAUGUCUGUGAGCUACACCUCAGCUUGUGGCAACGCCGGAUCCUUAACUCACUGAGUGAGGCCAGGGAUCAAACCUGCAUCCCAUGGAUACUAGUCAGGUCCUCAAUCUCCUGCUGAGCUACAGCAGGGACUCCUCGGCCCUCUUUUUUUGGGGGGAGGGGGAGCAUCGCCCUUCAGCAUAUGGAAGUUAUCAGGCUGGGGAUCAAGUCAGAGCUGCAACCGCCAGCCCGAGCCACACCUGUGACCUCAGCCUUCUUUAAUGGCAUGUUUUCAUGCAUAAACGAAAUGCUAUGUUUUCAUUUCAUGCAGCUCUUACCCACUUGGUUACCCAAGGGUAAGCUUUCUGGAAGCUCAGUCCUCAUGUUUAUACUCAACUAGAAUCUAAAGAGAGAUAACUGGACCUGGGCAAACUAUUGGUUUUAAAUUAUUGUGUGAUGCUCAAAUGUAUAUAUUCCUAUGGUCCAAAGGAAACAAGCCCCAGCCCCUUUAGAAACACAAUCCUAAAAAGAAACUAACAAUGAUAUAAUUUGCCAUUCAAAACAGGUCACGAAAUAUUUAAUAUUUCCUUAAAAAGUUGUAUUUUUGUAUACUCUAGAUAUAAAUGUAUAUAUAAAAUUGAAUGAUAUAUGUAUAGAAAGGUGAGAGCAUACUGGGGCAUUGGUAUAUUCCAAGUUUUCUACAUUGCAUAUGUACGAAUACCUUUCAGUCUAUUUUAAAAGAAAGAAAAUUAGUUUCAGUCAUUCCUUCAUGAAAUAAUAAAAGCUUGAAUAACACAUACUAACAUUAAGACAGAGGAAGGUACGUAUGGAAAAAAAACAGGAAUUAAACCUUACUAAACCUUAUGUUAGUAAAAUUAACACUGAGAUAUUUUAUGAUAACUAAUUACCAUAACAAUUUACAAUAUACGAAGUGCAGUAUUAUUCUGCCUUCGGAAUGUUCAAAACAUAUUUAAUUCAAGUGUCAUAUAUUUCAGGCUUAUCUGCUUUGUCUGUUCAUCUAUAUGCAGGUUAUAUGGUCAUUAUAUCCACUGACAUCUUCAAUCCGCCAAUCAGGAAAAGGAACACGGUGUAGUUCAGAACAAAGGAACACCACUAUUCAGUGUUUACUUUUAUCUACUUCCAGUUCUUUCUGUUAUCCCAGGCUAUUUACACUGAAAACAUAUGCUAUCAGAAACAAAAAGGCAAGUGGCCACACAAACUUACAGAAGUCUAUUUGAGGAACAUCAAUAAUACGGCAGAGGAAGUUUUAAAGGAGGGUCCGUCCAAGUUUGCAUUUGAAAGAGAAGAUUCUAGGAUCAUUUCUGAGCAGGAAAAGACCUCACCUUACCUAAUUCAUCCAUAGAGAACUCCAGAUCAAGAGCCUGAGAGUUGGCUGUUGACAGCAUCCUUUUAUAAAAGACGACGACGAGGCAGAGGGAGAAGUUCGGGGCAGCUUAACCAACAUCACGAUGAUGUAACAGUACUGUUUUCUUUGUGAGCUUGAUAUUCACAUUGGUGUCUCCUUAAUAAAUAAUGGUACAAAAGCGCUGCUCAAUGUACAGCUGUCUCUCGAACGAUGCAUCGUUAGAAGCAUCGACGCCCUUGCAAGUCCAAAAUCCACCUAUAAUUUUCCACUCACACUCCCUACCCGAGGUUCUGCCUCUAAAGACUCAGCCAGCCAUGGAUCAUGUGAUACUGCAGUAGGUACAUAUUGAAAAAAAUGUGCACCUAAGCAGAUCCACAUAGUUCAAGCCAAGUCUUAAUAAAAGAUCAACUAUAUUUUAAAAACUGAACGUUUCAUAACCAGUAAAUGGAUGACCUGUCUCAAGAAAUCCUGAGAUAAUCCAUUCAUAUUAGCAGUCAUACUUCAGGAUUGGACGAUUAAUAAAUGAUGUGGUUUUUGCUUCAGAAACCUCACCUUCCUCAUGGUCCUUUUAACAUGUAUCAUACACAGUAACAAAAAAGAAGUCAUACAGAUUUAUGAAAAUAAAGUUCAAAGUCCAACCUUCACGAAUAUCAAAGAAUGCAGGGGCUGGAUCUGUCCUAAGCCUCUCUUCUUUAGUGAUUGAUCUCCAUAUUUUCUCUUAAGAAGACAGAACUUUAUCAGUUUACAAUAUACCCAAUUUCAAGUAGUCUUCAACACGUGUGAGAAUAAUCCCAAUACACUUCCUGACUCUUCUAUGAGGCUAUGUUAUAUAUCAUCACUGCAAAAAAAAUGCUGCAAAUGAAGUCUAAAGUAAGAGUAUCAGCACACU
rnacentral:lncRNA from 1 species